GUACCCAUUGAAAUAUAAACAAAAUAACGAAUGAAAGAGAAAUUUCAAUUCAUUCAAUUCAUCUCCCAAACUAUAGUCUUUUGUAGUAUGUAAGGAUGGAUGUGCAUCAAAAGAAAACAAAGUUACUGUUUGCUAAUAGGUUAGGAGAACAUAACAUCAUCUUUAUGUGGGUGAAUGAACAAGGAGAAAGAAAGAAAGAAAGAAGAAGGCAGUUAAAGACCAAAGAGAAAGUGAAAACAUGACUUUCUUAAAAUCUAAAACCACAAUUUGAAAACCAGCUUUUUAUUUAAAGAAACUAAAAACCAUAAACAACAACCUUACUGAACAUGCACUAAAAGCAUAAAUGCAU
rnacentral:misc_RNA from 1 species